rnacentral:rRNA from 1 species
CCCUUAGAUGUUCUGGGCCGCACGCGUGUUACACUGAUGCAUUCAUCAAGCGCCACACCUUGGCUCGGAAGGCCUCGGUAAUCUUGAAAGUGCAUCGUGCUAGGGAUAGAUUAUUGUAAUUUUUAAUCUUCAACGAGGAAUUUCUAGUAGGCGUCAGUCAUCAACUGGCACCGAUUACGUCCCUGUCCUUUGUACACACCGCCCGUCGCUACUACCGAUUGAAUCAUUUGGUGAGGUCCGCGGACUGUUGUGCUUCCUUCCUCGUGUUGGUUGCGCUUCUUGGGAAGCGGCACGAACCUGAUGAUUUAGAGGAAGUAAAAGUCGUAACA